GCUGAAGGUGUCUUUUAACGUCUUUGUAACCAGGUGUUUCAGAAGAAGUAUGAUUAGCAUCAUUUGGCUUGAGGAGAACUUCCCCAUUCAUGAAGAGUUGAAGACACUUGUAGAGCUCCAGAUGCAGUAUAUAUGAGAUGAAGGAGAAGAUACAGUGUUGGAAUAUCUUGGGUAGCCUCCAAAAUGAUGCAGGUGUGGGCAGUGACUGAUCCAAUGACAAAAGAAGGAAGAUUCUCAGCAUGCACCACAGCUCUGAAGACCAAGAUCAGGAGGCUGGAGAAGCCAACUCAGUGAGCCACCAAAGCCUUCCUUCAGGCACACCUGACAGUCAGGAGAUUUUAAACAAGAUUUCAAAUUAAGAACUUGGUGAAAAGGUGAGCAGAGGCUCAUAUGGUCGCAUCAAGAGAACACAGUGUAAUUCCUGAUGGUUCAUAGACAACAGCUCAUCUUUGCUCAAAGCCCAAGAAAAGAUAAAUGUUUAAUCUUCCUUUCUUUUCAAAUGUUAAUACAUACAGUAGGCCUGGAUUUUGGUAAUACAUUUGCUUUCCUACAAAUAAUGGCAAUUUGGAUCCUUUUGAGCCAGCUCAUGAUAAUUUCUGGAGCAAUUAUCCUAACACUGCUCCUUUGCAUUACAUGUGUGAAACUAUUAAUGUAUAUUCAAAAGUUAAAGCAUAUUUACAUAUUGUAUUUGUGAUAUAAACCCAUGAUGCCUUUACAAUUAAGCACAAUUUGUAAUUUCAGAAAGCCCCUUUUUACUUAUGAACGUCUGAGUCUGAGAUUCACACAAACCACACUUUUGUUUGACUCCAAAAUGUGGGUGCCAAAUGAAUCUACUGCACUAGGCUUAUGAACACUACUGCAACUGUGCAGCUACGAUUUCUCUACUGGGAGAAUUGUUUCAGCAGAUAAACCAUCUGGCUUGAAACACAGCCCUCUUUGAAAAUAUUCCCCAUUAUGUUAGCCCAGAAACAAUGUGUACAACUAUGCUCUGGUGGAGGACAUGGUUAACAGAAAUUCAAUGUCAAACAAUAUCUGCUCUGUAAUCUUUUGCUAAAUGUAA